rnacentral:rRNA from 1 species
CCUACGGGAGUGCAGCAGUGGGGAAUAUUGGACAAUGGGCGAAAGCCUGAUCCAGCCAUGCCGCGUGUGUGAAGAAGGCCUUCGGGUUGUAAAGCACUUUCAGUGGGGAAGAAAGCCUUGGGGCUAAUACCCUCGAGGAAGGACAUCACCCACAGAAGAAGCACCGGCUAACUCCGUGCCAGCAGCCGCGGUAAUACGGAGGGUGCGAGCGUUAAUCGGAAUUACUGGGCGUAAAGCGCGCGUAGGCGGUCUGAUAAGCCGGUUGUGAAAGCCCCGGGCUCAACCUGGGAACGGCAUCCGGAACUGUCAGGCUAGAGUGCAGGAGAGGAAGGUAGAAUUCCCGGUGUAGCGGUGAAAUGCGUAGAGAUCGGGAGGAAUACCAGUGGCGAAGGCGGCCUUCUGGACUGACACUGACGCUGAGGUGCGAAAGCGUGGGUAGCAAACAGGAUUAGAUACCCGUGUAGUC